rnacentral:rRNA from 1 species
AAUCAACGCUGGCGGCGUGCCUAACACAUGCAAGUCGAACGCGACUGGGGCUUCGGCCUCAGUUGAGUGGCGAACGGGUGAGUAACACGUGGGUGACCUACCUUCGAAUGGGGGAUAACGUCCCGAAGGGACGCUAAUACCGCAUAACAUCCUGCCUUUGAACAGGCGGAGAUCAAAGCCGGGGAUCGCAAGACCUGGCGUUUGAAGAGGGGCCCGCGUCCGAUUAGCUAGUUGGUGAGGUAACGGCUCACCAAGGCGACGAUCGGUAGCCGGCCUGAGAGGGCGGACGGCCACACUGGCACUGCGACACGGGCCAGACUCCUACGGGAGGCAGCAGUGAGGAAUAUUGCGCAAUGGGCGAAAGCCUGACGCAGCGACGCCGCGUGGGGGAUGAAGGUCUUCGGAUUGUAAA